AUUGAACGCUGGCGGCAGGCCUAACACAUGCAAGUCGAGCGAGCGGCGGACGGGUGAGUAAUGUAUGGGGACUGCCUGAUGGCGGGGGAUAACUACUGGAAACGGUAGCUAAUACCGCAUACCCUCAGAAAACCCAUAUGGGAUUAGCUAGUAGGUAAGGUAACGGCUUACCUAGGCGACGAUCCCUCGCUGGUCUGAGAGGAUGAUCAGCCACACUGGGACUGAGACACGGCGCAGACUCCGACGGAGGCAGCAGUGGGGAAUAUUGCACAAUGGGCGCAAGCCUGAUGCAGCCAUGCCGCGUGUAUGAAGAAGGCCUUCGGGUUGUAAAGUACUUUCAGUCGGGAGGCGUUACCGACAGAAGAAGCACCGGCUAACUCCGUGCCAGCCGCCGCGGUAAUAC
rnacentral:rRNA from 1 species